rnacentral:rRNA from 1 species
AGUGAACGCUGGCGGUAGGCCUAACACAUGCAAGUCGAACGGCAGCACAGUAAGAGCUUGCUCUUACGGGUGGCGAGUGGCGGACGGGUGAGGCAUACAUCGGAAUCUACUUUUUCGUGGGGGAUAACGUAGGGAAACUUACGCUAAUACCGCAUACGACCUACGGGUUAAAGCAGGAGAUCUUCGCACCUUGCGCGAUUGAAUGAGCCGAUGUCGGAUUAGCUAGUUGGCGGGGUAAAGGCCCACCAAGGCGACGAUCCGUAGCUGGUCUGAGAGGAUGAUCAGCCACACUGCAACUGAGACACGGUCCAGACUCCUACGGGAGGCAGCAGUGGGGAAUAUUGGACAAUGGGCGCAAGCCUGAUCCAGCCAUACCGCGUGGGUGAAGAAGGCCUUCGGGUUGUAAAGCCCUUUUGUUGGGAAAGAAAAGCAGCAGGUGAAUACCCCGCUGUUCUGACGGUACCCAAAGAAUAAGCACCGGCUAACUUCGUG